UACGGGGGGAGCAAGCGUUGUUCGGAUUUACUGGGCGUAAAGGGCGCGUAGGCGGCCACCGCAAGUCGACUGUGAAAUCUCCGGGCUUAACCCGGAAAGGUCAGCCGAUACUGCGGGGCUAGAGUGCAGAAGGGGCAACUGGAAUUCUCGGUGUAGCGGUGAAAUGCGCAGAUAUCAGGAGGAACACCAAUGGCGAAGGCAGCACUCUGGGACGUGACUGACGCUGAGACGCGAAAGCGUGGGGAGCAAACAGG
rnacentral:rRNA from 1 species